AUUAGGUUGGUGAGCGUGUUUAGCCUUGUAGCUCAUUGCACCCACCCUAGUUAUCUUCUGUGACUAUAUUAGCCCGAAUGCAUCAGCAGGUAGCUAUAGCACAGAUGAGAGAAUGGGAGUGGACAGUCUAUGAACAGGAGCAAGAUUGAAGAGUCGCUAACUGCAGCAUUGAUAGGACAUGAGGAAGGCCAUAGGUUUUAAAUCAGAAGAUAACAGGCGAAAGCUAAUGACACUAGAAGUGAGAUUAACUGAGAUUAAUUUCUCCAACUUCCGUUUUGAGCAGAAUUAGAAUGCCUGAAGAAAUAGUAAAGAUGAAAAAAAGUGAAGUUGAGAUACGUUACUGGCAAGGACUGAUGGCUUAAGAAGAGAUGUCACUGAUUCUCACAAGCAAACAAAGGACAAAUGCUGACAGCUACCUUCACUUCAAUUGUUAACAAGCAAUUUCCAUCAGCUUUAGUGUGAAAUGGAUCAGCCAAUAUGAACGCAUAUUGUGAAUGACUCACCCUGUAUCAACUGUCUAUACAUGAGUAAAGCCACAUGUCCCCACACUGCUGAUAGUCUUUAUUAUGGGCUUUCUUUAAGGUAAGAGAUUAGGAGCUUAAACUAUGACCAGAAACUUUUACAUUAGUUUUUACACUUCUCCCUUCUUCAAAGUACAAUACAGAAAUGCAGCUUUGGGACUUUAGACUUGAAUAGCUGCAAAAUCUUAUAAAAGGGAAUAUUACCUCAAUCUGUCACAUGGAUUUGCUAUAUGCUGAAGAAGAAGGUUACAGACAUUAAAAAAAAUCUAUAUUAAAUUUGCAUGUUGGAACAUUUGCUCUCCCUUCUACCCAAGACUUCAUGACAGUUGGUUCCUUGGGCAUAUUCCUCAAAUUCAUUUCAUCAGAUUUUGUGGCAGUUUUCACUUCACAGUUUCCCUGGUAAUAUAGAAGAAUGGGACAGCCUAAAUUACUUUAAUUUUUCAAAUGUGAUGUUAAGAAAAUUGCCCACUAUUGAUUG
ensembl:lncRNA